rnacentral:lncRNA from 1 species
ACAAGUACGGACAUGGAGAAAUGAUUGGAGAAUAUGGAUGAUGAGAUCGAUAACAUCUUACUUCUAUGGAAGCCUGGAUGUUGUUUUAAAUAAGCUUGGCAUGAAGGAAGCUAGCUUUUUGCCAACUAAUAAAGUAAUCGAUGAUGAACAAGUUAAGCUAUAUGAGAUGGGUAUUUUUGAUUUUCGAACAGCCACCACGUUUCUUGCUCCAUUGGUUACGGUGAUUCUUGUAAACAUUGCAGCAUUUGUCAGAGCUUUGGUCGUGAAUGUUGUUGAUAAUGAUAGAGACGGAUAUUGGGAAAAAAUGUUUGGGCAAAUGUUUCUUUCGUUUUACAUAUUGGUUUCGAAUUAUACAGUUAUUGAAGGGAUGAUAAUCAGGAGAGAUAAGGCCAGUAUUCCAUUAUAUGUUACUUUGUUGUCGGGUGUGUUUUCAUUGUGUAUCUUGUUGAUUGGCUCUGCCAUUUUGUCUUAAAGACUGGCAUUUGGAAAACAAAAAAAAGAACCUCGAUUAGGAUUUAUAAGUAAUUUCAUGUCUUUUAUUGUAUGUUCAACUUUGAAGGGUUGAUAUUAUAUAUGUCCAUUGCUUCUGUCGUCGUUUGAAUUAUGGUUUUAGUUUAUCAAUGUGUAAUUUGACGGUUAUUUGUAUAUCUUAAUUUGGUAUUAUUAUUAUUAUUAUUAUCCCUUUGUCUAAUUUCUUUUCUCAGCCAAGUAAAAUUUUAUUAAAUAAAAAGCCUCAACAAUCAUACAACACUAAUCAAGCAAAAAGCCAUAAGCAUCGCCUUCGUCUAAAUUGUUGGAAGGAGGAGAAAAAACUAGAACAAUUUUGGAAGAGAUUGUUGUGAACUGCCUUUAUUGUUUUGCUUACUUUAGCCUUUCUUGAUAAAUCACACUUAAUUUUAUUAAUUAUACAAAGAGCAAAUAGCUUUAUAGUUUAGACAACAAAAACAUAAUCAACUACACUAAAGGUCGCUACAUCAAAAUAGGUUUUUAGCGGCGUUUUUUUGGCCUUUAGCGGCGCUUUACCGCCGCUAACUUUUGCGGCAUUUUUAGCAAUAAACGCCGCUAUAGAACAAGAUCUUUAGCGGCUUAUUUCACACAAACGCCGCUAUAGAACAAGACCUUUAGCGCGCUUUUCCACCAACGCCGCUAAAGAUCAUGACUUUUAACGGCGCUUUUUACACAAACGCCGCUAUAGAACAAGACCUUUAGCGGCGCUUUUCCCACAAACGCCGCUAAAAACAUAUCUUUAAAAAAAUAAUUUUUUUAAAUAAUAUUUAUUUCUAUGAUAAAUAUUAUAUUAUGUUUUAAGGAUAAAUUAAAAAUAUUAUUUAAAUUAAUUUUUUUACGAAAAUUUUAACUUUAAAACUAAAUAUAAAAAUUAGUGAAUUUAAAAUAAUAAAUUAAUAACACAAUUAAAAUCCAAAAGUUAGAACUCUUAAGUAAAAAUAAAAAUUUAGAAUCAAAACUAAAAUAAAUAAUACAUAUGCAAGGUAAUAAAACAUACAAUGCAUUUUCUUAAUCAAGUAAAUCUUGAUAAUAAAAGAUAUAAUACAUUUACUUAAGGAAAUCUUGUACAUCAUUUUUAACUUAAUCAUUUCAACCAAAACCUCAAUUGAUUUAAAAUAAAUUGUUUAUAAAUAUAUAAUAUUUUUUCACGUAUAAUAUAAUCGGAUGGAUGAUUAAGACACUGAAAAUGAAAAAAACAGGGACAGAUCUAAUUUAGAAAUAAAAUUGAGCUUUGACUCCCAGUUUUAUUUUCAAACACCUCUUAAAUCCCUUAGAUAAAGUAUGUCAUCUCCUAAAUGUAAAAUUUUAAAUUGGUAGUAUUGACAAAAACUCCUAAAAACAACAAUACACUCCUAUGCAAAUUACUCUACUAUAUCAACUCUAUCCAUAUAAUUGCCUUCUUCCCAAAUCAAGUAAAUAUACACACUCUAAGCAGUCCUCAAUAUAAUUGCAAUGAGAGCCUUGCCUCCAUUUUAAAUCCCUUUGCCAAUUCACGAUCUCUCUGUCAGUCCUGCACAGUCCAAGAAUAUAUUUUUAUAUGCCUUUUGAAUAUCAGCAUUAAAAGAAACGAUGAUUCUUGGCCUCUAACUUGCACUACCCAUCAUUCAUAAUACCCAACUGAAUAAGCUUGUCUUUUUUCUGAAUUCUUCCCAAAAUGACCAUCCAGGUAACGAUUGCAUGUUUUGGGAUAUGUAAUGGGAACCAAAUCAGUUUAUGCCACUGUGCUUUGCACCUUUUCUCUCUAACCUCAUUCCCAAUUUACUUACUGAAGCCUUAUUUGGAUCAGAAAACAUGCUCUGAAAUUGAGUUGCCUCAUCUCUUAUGUUGAAAAGCUUCCUCAAACACCAACUCAUAUUACGUCCGCAUUCAAGUUGCCAAAAAUAUGCACCUUUAAUGAGGUAAGCUCUUAUCCAAACAACCCAUAAAGAGCCUUCACCAGCAAGAAUAUUUCUGAUCAAUGCAAGAAUGCAAACCUUGUUCAAACUAUAGAGAUCUUUCCUCUUAUUUCAAAGAACAUAUCCGAUUCCAACUUAUAUUUUAGCUUCUGUUGUAGAAGACACUUUCUCCUUCUACAAGAAUCUGAUACACAUCCCAUUCAUCUUAUAUAUUGUAGCUUUUGGAAGAAUAAAUUGUCUGCACCAAUAAUUAGAAAUAUUGAAUAGCAUAGCUUGAAUUAACUGCAGUCUCCCAAUGGCCAAUCCUUGCUCUAAUCUUUGCAAUAAGUGGUAGAGAAUCCUUUUCAGUUAACUUCCUAGUUACUAAAGAGACCCCAAAUAUCUAAUAGGCAACUUCCUUAACUUAAACUUAGAGAUUCCCUAAAUAUGUUUCAACUCCAUGGGCUAAAUACAAAUGGAAAAUAGUUCACUCUUUGAUGCAUUCAACUUCAAACCAAAAAAUAAAUAUAACUGUGAUAACAUACUUUGAAUUCUAAUCGGGUUCUUCCAGUUUUUUUUUUAAAUUAAAUCGGUGUCACUUGACGUACCAAUGGUACCAAUAAAAAUUAUUUUUUUAUUUUGCUUUCUUUCUCGCAAUUUAUAUUUGUAUUUUUAUAAAUAUUUUAAAAAAUACAUAUCAAUACCAUCUGACAUAAUAGUAACAGCAAAAAAAAUUAUUUUUAUAAAACCAUGAUGAUUGAUCAAAAAGUAAAAUGGUACGUCAAUAUGUCAGACAGCACCACCAAACACGACAAGAGACAACUCAAAUUCGUAAUUAAUAUUUUUAUAAAAAAUCCUUGAGUCCUACCAUUCCCCAAACUUGAUAAAUUUUAUUUCUGUAAAGAGAAAGUUACCAAAUCAACACCGAAGAUGAAGAUAUUUUUGUCAAAUACCCACAAACUAAUUAAUGACCAAUCACUUUUUAUCUCAACCAAUCAUUUUGUGCCACCUGUAUUAAAAAAUAAAAAUGAUUUAAUUUCCUCUUUCACGUGAUUCUUUAUAUGAUAAUUUUCUAUUUCUUUUGCGGUUUCUCAUGUCGCUUUCCGCCUGCAAAAUGAAGUGGCUCUCCACACUUUUCCUCUUUUAUUUUUCUGACAAGCUUUUGUCUCUUUAAUAUAUUUGUUUUUCUUAUAAACUACCAUAAGCUUUCAUUUUAAAAUUAUAAAUUCAGAACAAUCAUUUCCAUUCAAUUUUCAUUUUAAUUCAAUAAUAUUAUACAAUUAUUUUAAUCACCUCAUUUCAAUAAAUUUUUAUUUUACCUUCUAAAAAUUAAUUUACUUUUUUUAGAAAGUUUAAAUUUUUACAGAAAUUUAAAUUAUUCAGCUGCGAAAAUGAGAGAAUUUUUUUCCUUUAAACCAAUUAUUUGUAAAAAUAAAAAAAAAUUAGCUUUUUUUCCCUAUAAAUCUCAUUAAAAAAUAGGUCUGCGUGAUAAAGCUUUUCUUUUUUUUAAGACUUUUGCAUAUUUCCAAAAGGCUAUAGGGACUACCAAAAAAUGCAAAGCCUAUAAGCCAAAUGAGCUAGCUCUAUGUCACCAUCAUCAUACACAUGCGACCGGCCUAUUAAUAAAUAAAGAGAUAAUUGCAUCAAAUAAUUUUCAUUCUAAAUUUAUUUAAAAAUUUUAAAAUAUUUUAAUUAUAGAUGUUGAAUUGAUAAAGCUCUUUUUAUUAUUAAAAUUGUUACUUUAAUUGUUAAAUAGAAUAUUAGUUUUGAAGUUUUUAAUGCUUUAUCAUUCACUCACUCUCUCUCUCUUUUUUUUUUUGACUUUUUCAUUUUUAAAUUUUACUUAAUAAAAUUAUGAGACAUCAUUUUACUUUUUUUUUUAAUUUUCAUUUUGAAUUAUUUGUAUUACAUAAGAUUUAUUGUGUCAUUUACUAAUUCAAUUAAUAAUUUUAAUAAUAAAAUGACUUGAUUGUUAUACAUCGAUAGUUUAGAGAUGCAAUAGAAUAUUUUGAAGUUUGAGACCAAUUUAAAAUGAGAGUGAUAAUUAGAGGUUGUUUGGUGCAAUUAGAUUAUAAAAAAAAAUUGCGGUUUUUUAUCUAAUACUUUUAGUUUUUAUACUUUAAUUACAAUUAUAAAUGUAAUAACUCAAGUAUUUUUACCAAACCAUUAUCAAUAUUUUUAUUAUUAAGGGUAUUAGAAAUAUAAUGCAUAUAACCUAUCUAUACAUAUGGUCUUCUAUUAUCACAUUUCCUUCUACUAAAUAUAUAUAUAUUAUUUGCAUCCACUAUAAUAUAUAUGUUUAUUUGAUUGAUUUUGAUCUUGUAAAAAAGCCCAUUAAAAAGACUUCAAAUAUUUAUCUCAAAAUUUGAUGAUCUGAGGCUGUCUGCUUUGAGAAUUUGACUCCAUAUUUUUCAUCUCUUUUUGACCUAUCCAGUGAUAAAGACAAGAAGCUCUGUUUGCAAGGAUUCGAUUAUGAGUGCUUCGGAUAUUUUCAAUGCUCACGAUGAAAGUGAUAACAACGAUGGAAGUGGUUUAGGUAUUGAAUGGUAGGUGCACGUGAUGGUGUUGCUGCUGGGAUGAAAAUUUAAAUAGGAAAGAGAAAAUCGAAAAAGUUAAUUGAUUAGUUGGAUUUUUUUAUUAAUAAAAAUUAAAAGAAAAUUAAAUAUUUUUAAUACAUGUCACACAAUAUUAUUGGUUUUUUAAUAUGAAGCGUAAAAUGAGGGUUUAGUGGUUAGAAAAAGAGUUGACAAGUAUUCUCUAUUUAUUUAAGUCUUGAGCUUCAAUCAUCUACAAGCAAUCAUCCAUGGAGAAGUCUUUUCCUCUGCAUGAAUGCCAUGUAAACAAAGUCACCAUCAUCAUCAACAGAACCCAUGCAAUCCUCCAUUCCAUAGCCAUACUCUUGUUGAUUCAUUACAGGCUUUCUUUCUUUUUCCAACACCCCCAAAACAUCACCAUCCCCACUCUUCCAUGGCUUCUAAUCUUCGUCUCCGAGUUGAUUCUCUCUUUCGCAUGGUUCCUUCAACAAGCCUGCCGUUGGCGCCAGGUUUAUCGGACCGUAUUCCCCGAGAGGUUGCCGGCUGAUGAUAAGCUUCCGGCCAUUGACGUGUUCAUUUGCACUGCGGAUCCAAACAAGGAGCCGAGUGUGGAAGUUAUGAACACUGUGAUAUCAGCCAUGGCGUUGGAUUAUCCACCGGAAAAGCUUCAUGUUUAUAUAUCCGACGAUGCCGGCUCCGAUGCGACGUUGCGUUGUACGAAGGAGGCUUGGAACUUUGCCAAGUAUUGGGUUCCUUUUCGUAGGAAAUAUGGUCUCGGGACUGCUUGUCCGGACGUUUAUUUUUCAAGCUCCGAAAAUGAUAAUGGAGACUAUAAGGGUUCCGAAUUUAAGGCAGAGAGGAAAAAGAUGGAGGUAAUUUGAUGAGAGGGUUAAUUCACCAAACAUAAACUAAAUUAUUCCUAAGCUUCAAAAGUUAUAAUUAAAUCCUCCAAUAUUAAUUUAAUCAUAAUUAGUUAUAAGCUUUCUUAAAUAUCAAAUAUAUUACUAUUUGUAGACAUUAUAUUAAACUUGAGGUUUUGAAAAUUUAAAUGUCUGAGAUUUAUUAUACAUAAAUAUUACAUGAUAACUUUAUUAGGAUAUAUCAUAAUUAGUAUUGUAUUUGUACACACUUUAAAAAAAUUAAAUUUAUUUUGUGUCAAGGAAAAAUAUGAGGUUCUGAAGCAACGGCUAAGGAAAAUUGUUGAAGGACAGUUUCCCACAAAUGUUGCCAUCAACAAUACUCGGGACCAUCCUUCAGUAAUUGAGGUACCACACAACUUGUAGUUUAUAUUUAUUGUAAUUUAUUUAUCUAUUAUUAAAUUGUUUCUUUUUUUUUUUAAUUCAUAAAAGAAUUCAAACAAUACCAAUAUUUUGGAAUCGAUCAAAACGAGGGUAAAAUAAAAAUAAAUUAUUUUACAGGUCAUAAAUAAAGAGGAAGAUGAAGUUAAAAUACCCCAACUUAUUUAUGUUUCUCGUGAGAAAAGACCUUCUCAUAAUCAUAAUUUCAAAGCUGGAGCCCUCAACGUCCUUGUAUGUCCUCUCUCUACACUCUUUGUCACAUGUUUUUUUCUCUACAAACUAAUAUAUUGACAGUUCGUGUUGUGUUUACGUCGUGCUGCUGCUAGCUUCGGGUCUCAGCGAUGAUAAGCAAUUCUCCGUAUAUCCUAGCCCUUGACUGCGACAUGUACUGCAAUGACCCAACUUCAGCUAGGAAAGCAAUGUGUUUUUACUGUGAUUCUCAAACACCUUCUUCUUUAGCAUUCGUGCAGUUUCCUCAAACAUUUCGAAAUAUAAGUCAAGAUGACAUCUACGACAACCAAGUCCGAUUUGCAUUUAAGGUUGAUAACUGAAUCUUUUAAAAGGUUCUAUAUGCAAAAUGUGGGUGGGUGUGUUUUAAUUUGAGAUCUUCUGGUGUUAGGCAAUUGCAUCGGGUUGUUCCAACUUACCUCUAAAUGGGAGUCUAUUUAGGGACAUCAAACCUAAGACAUUGCUUAAGGAAUUUCAAACUCUUUACCACUAGACCCACUGAUAGACAUUUUAUGGAUUGGGCAAGGUUUGUGUUUGGCGUGUGUAUAAUAUUGAUAGACUUAUAUUUGCUCAAGCCCAGCCGAACCAUAAUAUAUACCUAAAAAUUUUGCUAGGCCAAUCUAUAUUUGUUAAUAACUCACCCAAGCUCAUUUUAAACCUAUUUGUAUUUAUGUUUUUAAUAUAUAUUAUUUUUUUUUAAAAUUAAUAUUUUUAGAUGGAUUUUAAAUAUAUAUAUAUAUAUAUAUAUAUAUAUAUAAAAGCUUGGUUCAAGGUCUGGACUCAAAUUUUGAAUGUUGAAGACUAAGCUUAACUCAUAUUUUAAACAAGUUUGUUUUUGUUCAAACUCAUUUUUCAAGCUUUGUAUUUUAGUCCAAAAUCCUUUCGUAUUUCAAAUAAAUUUUCAUGCUGAGACAAAUAAUCUAAUCUAUAUAUGAAUAAGUCUACCUACUACUUGAUAUAUAUAUAAUUGAUGAGAAUGAGUUGUGAUUGACUGUUUUAUUCAUAUUUUUCUAUCGAAUUCAGGUACAUUGGUAUGGUUUUGAUGGCGUCGGAGGACCAAUAAUAACAGGUUCAAACUUUUGUAUAAAGAGAGAGGCUUUAUUGGGUAGUUUUAACAAGGAACAAGGUUAGUUAAAUUGUUCGCUGCUAGAUUAAUUAAAGGUGUUAAUAAUUUUAGUUGUGAUUUGAAUAUAUAUUUUUGUUGCGUGAGCAUUUUAUCAUUUAAAAAAUUGAAAGUCUUAAUAAUUAUUUUAUUUUAAUAAAAGAUAAUUUUUUAUUAUUAAAUAUUGUAUAGGAUUGCAUUAAUUUAUAUUGAAUUUUGUAGGGGUGUCAAUAAGACUAUGUGAAUUUUUGCCCACUCUUCAAUCUUAAAAAUAUUUACUCAAUCUUAUCUGGACUCGUCCGAAUUUAUUUUGUACUAUAUUUAUUACAAAUUACUUGUAUCAUAGUACUCUUUUUCAUUUGGAUGUGUAUGUUUUUUUUUGUUUGUUUAUAGUACAUAACUAGACAAGUUGAAUAUGUCAUAACCAAUGACUUGUUAAUAUAGAUUAUAUGGCACUCAAGAGCUUAUUUGGUCCAUCCAAUGACUUCAUUAAAACCCUAGUUGAAGAUUAUAAGCCUUGUUUCAUAAAGGAUGGGGAAUCUUCAAGGAUGUCGCUCGAAAAUGCCAACAUAUUAGCCUCUUGCUCCUACGAAAAUCAGACAGUAUGGGGUUCAAAGGCAAGUAUAUAUAUGUCCAAAUAAAAGCUUAAUUUGGAUAUAAAUUAUCAUAUUAUAUAUAUAUGAAUAUUGAUUAACCAUCCUUUCAAAUAUAUCUAGGUGGGUUUUCUAUAUUUUUCUGUUUCAGAAGAUUACUUUACUGGACUUAAUUUACAUCGUAAAGGCUGGAAAUCAGUGUAUCUUAAUCCUGAAAGGUUACAAUUCUUGGGGACAAGCACCACAAAUUUCAAUGACUCAUUAAUUCAAUGGACAAGAUGGACAUCUGGGCCUGUUACCGUUGCUCUUUCUAGGUUUUGCCCUCUCAUUUAUGGUCCUCUAAAGAUGUCUUUGGUUCAGCUUUUGUGCUAUUCAGAACUUGCAUUCAUGCCUCUUCUUAAUUGCCUUUCUCUUUGGGGCUUCGCUGUUAUACCUCAACUUUGUCUCUUCAAUGGCAUCCCUUUGUACCCGAAGGUAACAAGUAUUCAUAUUUGAUACCGUAUUAAUUAAUCUUGAUUAGUACAGAACGUUUACCUUUUGUGUCUCACAGGUUUCAGAUCCGAAUUUCAACAUAUUUUCGAUAAUUCUAGUAUCGUCUAUUUCGAAAAGCUUAUACGAAGUUGUUACAACUGGUGAACAAAUCAAAGUAUGGAGAAAUGAAUGGAGAAUAUGGAUGAUGAGAUCGGUAACAUCCUACACCUAUGGAUGCUUGGAUGUUAUUUUAAAUAAGCUUGGCAUGAAGGAAGCUACCUUUUUGCCGACCAAUAAAGUAACCGAUGAUGAACAAGUUAAGCUAUAUGAGAUGGGCGUUUUUGAUUUUCGAACAGCCACCAUGUUUCUUGCUCCUUUGGUUACAGUAAUUCUCAUCAACAUUGCAGCAUU